AGUGAAGAGCGGCAUGUCGAAGGCUUUUGCAUGUGUUUGCUCUGGGGAUUUCACUUGAAGAUGUUUACAAAUGCCUCUGCAGGAAGCUCAGCACAAAAAGAGAUCUGAAAAGCAGUGUUUAGAAGGUCAUACUGAGCCUAUAUGGAUCAUUUACUAAUCUGUGCUGAAACUGCCUGAACAAAUGCAAGAAGCAAAAAGAAAGACAAGAAGGGGGUAGAGAAGGAGGAGGAGGGGAGGACAAGCUGGGCUGCUGAGCUAUUCUCCUCCCUGGAAAGCUUCAGGCACGGUGGAUCGCAUUACCGACGCUGCAGGAAACUGACAAGCGAGGGCCCGAGCAGAUCGUUCCCACAUGCUUCCCCACCGCUCGGCUCUCCAGAGGUGUCAAGCCGGCCUGAAAGAAUGAAGUGCCUCCCCAUUGUGCUACCCAACUAUUAUGUGCUUAACAUUUCCAUGACAAAGAUGCCA